AUGUUUUUAAAACAUACUUGAAAAGACAAAGGAACUCAGUCUAAAUGAUCUUUUAAAAAGCAAAGAAAACUUACAGGAUUCACACAAACUGGAAAACUAGAAGCAGAAAACAUCGGCCACUUUCCAGGAGCUGCUGGAGCACAAGGGUUAAAUACAGGAAGAUGUGGAUAAUAUAUGAUUUGUCUCUUGCAGUAAUGGGACUACCUGUUACUUACUCUGUGUUUCUCAACAUGCAUCCAAUUGUAUAUGGAAAAGUGAAUCUUACUAAAUUAUGUCUUUCAGUAAACCUGUCUAAAAAAGAAAAUCGCAGAUAAAACAGAAUUGCAGUUAAAUGUGUCAAUGGAUGUAUGUUUUAUUUUUAGUUAGAUCACUUUUAACAACCAAACUGUCUUUCUCUUUCUCUCUCAGAAUGACUAAGGAAUAGGCUGCCUGCUUUCCUUGCCAUGGAAAUUCUGAGAACAAGUUUCUAAUUGAAGACCCCAGCAUGGCUCAUUUCCAGACAGAUGCCACAAUUGAUUUCUUAACACCACUCUGAUUUGACACCAUUCUGAUUUGAUACCAAAGAAUGGGAUGCACACAUUACUAAGCUGUGGAGCUUAAUAAAACAGUUGCAGACGGAUGCCCCCAGCGUUCAGACCUACCUUCCGAACACCCUGCAAUACAGUUCUCUCAGACAGAGCAGUGAGCCACUGAACUGAACAUUUUCUCCAUCAUCUCACUGCCAAAUAGCAUUUUAACUGCCUGCCGUGAAAUUAAAAGAACAGACCAUGACUGGGAGGGAGUUACUAGCUUAUCUUACUUUUGAGACGAUUUUAAAACAGUAAUUUCCAGAGAAAGGAAUGACUAUGGAAUAUUUCAGACACCUGCCAUGAUGAAAGAACUCUUCACUGAUGCCAGCUACACUCAGGCCACCUAAGACUUCUGUUCAGUUAAAACAGACCAGAGAACUUCAACACAGCACGGGAAGCUUGAAAUGCUAAUGGAGGAAAAUCAGGUGAAAAAUAAAAUUUCUGGUAUCUUGACUCUAAGCAUCUCACGGUUGGUGCCCUCCAACCUUGAUACUGUUAAGUGUGGCCCCCUUGCCUGGAGCUUGCUGGUGGUUCUCAGGCCCCACCCCAACCCUACUGAUUCAAAUCCAUUAUUUUAAACAAGAUCUUUCCAGGGGCAGUAAGUUUCAUAAACAUAUUAUAAUGAUGGGGAAAUAUUUUGGAAAAUGAAGGCUAAUAAUAUGAUCACCUAUGACUGCAAGGAAAUCAACGCACUUUAUAUAUUUUUAUAUUGUAAUUAUAGCAAAUCUUCUCAAGACCAGGGCCCUUAAGAGGGGGCACUGGAUGUUAUUUUUCUCUUUUUAAGUUUUUUGCAUCCAGAGAAAGUAGCAGAUAGAUAACAGCAGCUAUGGAGGCUCUCUGAGAUAGCCAGCUUAGAAUCCAGGAACAAUGCGGUGUGAGGAGUCCUAAGCAAGGGGAGAUAUACCCUGCAGACCCUGGAAUGAACUAAGCUGAGAGAAACCAACUGGAAAUGCAAUCCUGAUGCUAUGAGCAGAAUAGAUAAAAAUCUCAGCACUGAAGCUGGAACCCGUGGCUUGAAUUUACUGCUGCCACUGUUGCAUCUGAAUCGGCACAGCAGGAAUAGAGACGUGAAAGCCCUGAGAGCAGGAAUUGGCGAAUCGAAUUGAGAGCGGAACUGGCGGGGAGCCCUGCAUCAACCUGCGGUGAGUGAGAAGAACGGGGACCCUUCCAUAGGCUAGGAGGCUCCAACAGAGGACAUUCUGGGACUGGGCAGACUAGCCGCAACAGGACGCUGCAGUGACUUUAGUCACAUAUUCCCCUCUCAAGCGGGGUUGGCAGGGAGCACCUGACCUGGGUGAAGCCACUAAGACCCAGUAGGCUAGCCCAAACCAGGUCCCAGUGCCGGGGGUGCACCCUAGCAGUGAAGCGUUUAGUAGGUUGACCUGGGGGGGGGGGCCCAACAUAUGCUGCCUUGGUCUGUGUCUCCCUAGUACACUGCAGUGGGUGGGAACACCUAGCCGGCAGAUUCAAACAAACUGUAACCAGCAAAAAAAGAAACUGGGCCUCCUAUAUAUGCCUGUAUGGAAGGAACAAAACAUAUGAGAAGAGGAGGCAAAAAGAAAGGGUCCUUGGUCCCCAAUCCUGAGAACACUGAUCCAGGAAAGGGAAAUGCAAAGGAAGACAGAAAAUGUGCAAUAUCAGGCACGGCACCAAUAGACAUAAAGCGAUAUCUCUGGGACCUCAUAGACGAGUUCAAAAAUGAAGUAUUUAAUGAAGUAAAGCAAGAUCUAAUAAGUAGAAUAGUUAGAGAAAUGCUAAGGACCACCCAAGAAAAAACAGAUGGUGGAAUGGAAGAACAAAAAAAAGGGGAGAAUUGUUUGAUGGAGAAAAUAGAGGAAAUAUAGAAUACAUGAAGCAGGUUCAAAGAGAUUACCAGGAAACUAAAAACUCUAUUGAAAGCUGGCAUAACAGCUUGAAAGAAACUAAGGAUAGAUUAUCUAAACUGGAGGACAGAUUUGUAAUGUGGGAGCAUGAAAUGAAAAACUUCUUAAAAAUAACAAGGAAACAAACAGCAAUAAUAUGAAGGCUAGAAGAUGAUAAGAGGAUCUAUAACUUAAGAAUUAAGAACAUAAAAGAAGAAGUAGGGACUCAAACAAAUGAACUACAAAAGCUAUUCACAGAAAUAAUCCAGGAGAAUUUCCCUAAUUUAGCAAAA